rnacentral:rRNA from 1 species
UACAGAGGAGCCAAGCGUUGUCCGGAUUGACUGGGCGUAAAGCGCACGCAGGCGGUGGUGCGCGUGGGGUGUGAAAUCUGGCCGCUUAACGGCCAGGCGCCAUCCCAUACGGCACGACUGGAGGGCUGCAGAGGUCGAUGGAAUUGCCGGUGUAGUGGUGAAAUGCGUAGAGAUCGGCAGGAACACCCAGGGGGAAACCAGUCGACUGGGCAGCACCUGACGCUGAGGAGCGAAAGUGUGGGGAGCGAACAGG